UCUUUUAAAAAUAAUAUACAUUAAUAUCAAGGGUUCACUGAUAUUGGUUGUAAGUGCCGAUACCAAUACCAAUAUCAGUGCUGAUUAUGAGUACCUCCUGAGACUGUCAGCCAAUAUUUUCACCAAUUUCCAUUUACAGCAGAAACGAUUGGAGUUUUCUGUUGCUUUUUCCACAGUUCCCACCUUGCUGACACUCUCUGUGCCCGUAUAACGGACUGCAGGACAUAAGGUGAGUUAAAGUUGAACAACACACUGAGAGGGAAAGCACAUGUUAGGUGCUCUGCUACCGAUUAAUACAUUUAAUCAGCAAAUCAAAACACUGAAACACUUAAUCAGUUAAAUGCGGAUAUCGGCCCUGAUAAUCGGCCAGGUUGAUAAUCAGUCGACCCCUGAUUAAUGUCCUGGUUGUUUUCUUUUGUGUUGUUGUUGUUGAGUUAGUCCCUGGAUUGGCUUUUCAGUGUUGUGUGUGUGCUAAACUUAACCACAUGGAGGACAGUGGAGGUCACCAGUCUCUGGAACUGUUAGUUUGAGAGUUUGGGAACUCCUUAGCGACUGGUUAUUGUUUCCUCUUUUUACCAUUUAAAGGUUUUUAAAAGUUCUGCAGAAUUAAAUUGUGAUCUACAACUGUAACCUUGAGCAAAUAUACACGAUCACUGAAUCAGCCCAAGAACUUUCCACCCUCCUCUCUGAGCUCCUAAUUCAGAUGAUCUGAUUUAUUUUUUCUGUCUCCCUCAUUUAAGAAGACGCUGCUCUGCUCCACAGCGAGGAUGACAGCAGUUAAAUAACUCCUGGUUUCAGAGCAUGGAGGUAUUUAUUUAAAUCUAUUCUGAGUCUGCUUUAGAUGAAUCACCGAGCUGAAGCUGUUCGACGGGGCUGCACGCUCACUCCUUCAGCUCAGUGUGGCACCCAACAAAUCACAAAAACUACCCCUGAUGGAGAGCUGUGCAGAAGGAAACACUUUCUCUCACUUAAUUCCUACCCUCUUUUCAUACAUUUGAACUUUCUAAUGCUCAGGUUUAAUCCAAUCUGUUCUGAGGUUUCCUUUUUUUUAAGGUAAAACCAAAUGUCUAAUAUUUGUGCAGCUAAUCUGAAACAGUGCAGCUGAGCUGCGGUUAAACAGAAGAUUCGUAUCAAAUACCGCAGCCCUCGUGCUAUUAGAGCUUAUCUGAUCAGAAAGUCAAAUACACAGCUGAACUUAUAUGUUUUUCUUUUGAUUUAAGUUGUCAAAAUACACACGAAGCUACACUUUGGUGGAUUUGAAAGUCUCACAUGUGACUGUGGGUCACAUUUUUAGCACAGACACUUGUAUGUGGUUGCAGAAUAAUGAAAGACAAAAAAAAGAAAAAAGGAGUAAUCUUUGCAGAAAGUGAAGCCGACAAACACGAUUGCAGAGUCUGAUCUGCAGACAGUUAAGAAGGGGGAGGGCGGGUGGGUUUAUGCAAGGGGGGAGAAGUCUUUGCACCUGAUAAAAUAAGCAAGUCAGACACCCUGGGCUCGUGUGUGUGUACGUGUGUGUGUGUAUGUGUGUACGUGUGUGUGUGUGUGUGUGUGUGUGUGUGUGUGUGUGUGUGUGUGUGUGUGUGUGUACGUGCGCACAUCAACUUUCCAUCUUAAAAGAGGUAAAAGUUGCCUGCACUCUGUUUCAACUCCCUUUAACUUUGCUUUUUUCCACUUUGUGCGUCACUCAGUGUGACAUGCUUUAUUAAGUCCACACUAAGCUCCUUACUUUAAUGAUUAACAGCAAGAGUUUCCUUUUCUUUUCUCUCUUUUUUUUGAUCCAGACAUUUUUUAAAUCAACCUUUCCUCUGUCAUGUGAUCUGUAAAGUCGCUGAGAAUUUGUCACAAGGGGACUGGGUGUCCCAAGUUGAACAUGUCACCACAGAGUACGAUUUUCAUGCCAUAUUAAAGAGAUCUAUCGCUAAAGUGGGUAGGAUGAAUGGAUGUCUUUUCUCCUCAAAAUCUGUUAGACAUUGUGAAUCUUAAAGGCUGGAAAAUGAAACCAACAAGUUGAAAAGUUAUCAGGUUUUAAAAGCGUAUAAAUGCCUAUUAAAUUCAGGCAAAAAUUCAGAAAUAGAAACGGCUGAUGAGGUUAAAAAAUCAAAGUCAAAUCAGGAAUGAAAAAAGGGAAAAGUGUGUUUUAAAAGGGGUCUGUUCACCUCUUCAUGGAUUAUCAGAGAUGAGUUGUUCCAGCUCAUAUCCUCCUCUGAUGUGGCUCUGCUCUCUCCCCUCCGUCAGAACUCCAUUCAUGCCGAACCUCUGCUUUUACUCGCCUCUUUGCCAAAAAUUCAAGAUAAACUCAUUCAUCCAGCGCCCCACCUCAUGCCACGACAAAGAUGUCAAAGUCAGAGAAAGAGGAUAGAUGCAUUCUGGGAGAAAACCUGCAAGUUCAGCCAGGAAAAAGAAAAACAAUCUGUCUGUGAUUUUUUUGUGAAAUGCUUCAUUUGGAAUAAAUUCCCCUUAAAUAUUUUCCCCGUCUUACAUCCAGCUGCUAUUUAGUCUUUGGAGUUAUGAGGCUGCCAUUAAAACUUCAAGCAUCAGUAUCGCCCGGGAUUAGAGUCCGAACUCUUGCUCUCUCUUCUAUUCCAGCAAGGCAGAUGGUCAUUCAUGGAUGGAUGUCUCUGGUCCUGCUCAAGGUUUCUGCCUGAGAAAAGGAAGUUUUUCAAGAAACCGCUGCAAAAAGGUAUUUACUGGUGGAUUAACGUUUGGUCUCUUAAGAGAUAGACUAGAGAUAGAUCAAUAAAUGGAUUAAUUGGACCAAUGAAUGGCAUUUUAAAAUAAUUGGCAUGAUAUCAGCAUUAGCCAAUUAUCUUUUCUGAAUGAAAACACAUUUUUCUAUCUCCUUAGUGACAGCAUAUCAUAUCUAAAACAGUCACUGACUACUGUUUGAUAUUAACUCUGUUAUGGUGUAGUCACAAUCCAGGCAAGUGUAAGGCAGUCUCCACUAAAACCUAUAUCUAAAGGCCUCUUCCCGACAGUAGAGAGGGUGUUUCUCUCCUGCGCCCAGAGUGGUCAAUGAUUUCGAAGGAGAGGGGCCUGAUAACUAAAAAUAAAAAGGUUUUAGACACUUCUGCCCCGGGAUAACUGAAGAAAGUAGGAUAGAAGGAAUGACAGAAAGACAAUCUAAGCCUAUGGAAGGGUAACUUGGGGCAAUUCCAAAGCGAAUUUGGGCAACAGUUUUGAGUUCACUCUCAUCGCUGACCUAAACUGGUGGAUAAUUUCGAAGGAGAGAGGCGUGAUAGCUGAAGGCUUGACCUCCCAUAAUGUUUUUAGACACUGCUGUCACAGAAGCAAAUUCAAAUCCAGACAGAGUGAGCAGAACCCCGACUCAAAGCAAUCAACAGGUAAGGAAAUCAGGGAUUGUGUGUCAUGACUCAAUACCCUCCUAACGCAGUCGUCCAAUAACCGGAAGGUUGGCGGUUCGACUCCUCCAUAUCCUAAGUCUGUCUGUUGUGUCCUUGGGCAAGACACUUAACCCACCUUGCUCCCAGUGUGUGUCCUCCACUGGUGUAUGAUUGUGAGUGUUGUGUAGAGGCCGUAGAUGCAAACUGGCAGCCACGUUUCCAUCAGUCUGCCCCAGGACAGCUGUGACUACUACAGUAGUUUACCACCACCAAAGUGUGACUGUGUGAGCGAUCGAAUGAUGUACCCAAUGUAAAGUGCUUUAAGGGUCUCUGAUAAAGCGAUAUAUGAAAUCUGAUGCAUUAUUAAUAUUAUUUAAAAAGAUAAACAUCAAAAAAUAGUUUGUUUAAAUAUGAUUUUAUUGAUUGUAAAAUUAUUACUAAAUACCACUAAAAAAGACGGCAUUCCCAAUUGGCACCAUGGUAGGUCAAACUCACAUAGCUCAGGAUUCUGAUUGGCUUACUUGAAGGACAAAUUAUCAUUAAACAGAAAAUUAAAUUUUUAAUAUAGAUGCUACUACCACGACCGCAUAUGGUUUAAGCUCCUUUGUAGUGAUCAGUAAGUUAAAGAUGCUCUCACCUGCUCUGCAGCCAGUGCACGGAUCGCAGGACAGGAUGUUGCUUCCUUGGUCGGGAUGUUUGGGAUGCCGUAGUUCCUAAGGCUGCACUCACAUCCACGCUUGUUAGCUUUCAUUAUUUCCCGACUCUCAAGACCAGCGUGAGGCAGACACUAACAUUUUUGCCAACAGAGGUGAAGUGUGCCCGACUUCUUUGCACUGAUUGGAUUGAUAUGAUCAGACUCACCCUUGUGUACCUUUUGCCAUUGAGUAUUAAUAAUUAUCGUGAGGUUUUAACUAAUCAGAAACAAGCCUUUCACACACGAAAAAAAUAAAAUAAAAUAAAAUAAAAAAUACAAAAAAGAAAGAGGAAAAAAACAGCCUAGAAUAGGAUUUGACAGGUUUUUUUUUUACUUUACAUCAUGGUUUUGGGUCGUUUUAAUCACCAAAUGGAAACAACUUUAAGUAUGUAUAGCACCAGUACUCCCGCUGAAAUGGUUGCCCAUAUGUUGUGCUUUAAAGCUCACCACACACAGUCAUUCUAGUCAGCACCCAUGGGAUUUGGAUUAAGUUUACACAGCGCAGUAAAAAACGUUAAACAAUGGGUGUCCUCGUGUCGGGGAGCAUUUGGAUCAAAACAACCUCUGUGGAUUGUGAGAGGCCUUCUACACAUGUGUGCUUAGCCACAUAUGGAUCAAUACAGCCCCACUGUAAUGUUUUUAGCUUUUCUGCUUUGUUAUUUUUCAGCGUGGAAAUGAUGUCUAUAAAGUAAAAUUACUUGCAAAUUUAGAUGCAUUUUGUACACUUGAUCCGGCCUGAGCUUUUUGUGUCAUGUUUUGACUAAGAGUUUGGCAUCCUGGGCAUCCAAGUUGACAUGAGGUGGAUUUGUGCAGCGAUAGAUUAUGAGCUGGUUGAUCAUGGUGGUUCAGGUGUUGUGGUUUUUCAGUUAUCAUUCAUAAACCUUGCACCUCUCUGCUGAGGCUGAUCACCGCCGAGGUUUUUCUCUCCUCUUGCUUUAAUGGCUCACUUCCACAGGCCUCGCUCGCUCCUUGGCGUUUGCUUUUCCUGGCAGAGGUGAUCCCCGCUGCCCUGCUUUUGGGGAGUUAUUCAAUUAUAAAUCUUCCACCCUUCUUCUGCUGUGCCCCCCUGACUCCCUCCCUGCUCUCCCUCUCUCACCGGUCCAUGUGUUAGCCUGCCAAGACCAGUAAAACACACUCUGCUCCGCUGGUGCACCCUUCUCUAGUCUCGUGCCCAAGAAUUUAUUAUUCUCAGGGUGGCGAAGCGGAGUGCGGUGUGUUUUUGGAAAAGAGGGACCCCCCCUCAAGCCUCAGUGCCAACAGAUGACAGUGACAUAUAGCAGGAAAGCCACCCAGAAGGAGAAUGAUCUCACACCUCAGCCACGCGCUCAGUGGGAGUAGGAGAAAAUAAAGAGAGAGAGAGAGAGAGCAGAGAUCUGCAGCUGAGGGCAGAGGGGACAAUAAAAUCAAGAUGAAAAGUGGCAAAGACGGCGGAACAAAAAGGUCAAAAGACAAAAACAAACACCAGCAACUGAAAGCAAACACUAAAACGCAUGCAGAUGAUCUAAGAGAACCAGAAAUAUUCUUCCUACUUCUGCAAAAUCUUUGUGCUAAUCUUGAACAUUAUGUUCUAAUAACUCUCCAGAUAAACCAAAGUAUGUGAAACCUCUGAGACAUUCUCCUCUUACCCUCAGAGCGAGCCUGGUUUCUGGAGGAAAUGCACCGCUCCAUCAGGCAUCUCCAGAAAAUCCUUAGCUGUGUUUGAGAUUUUUAAAGCAGAUGCAUCCUCCUCUUUACAACAUCUGUUUCUAAAAGAGCCUUCGAAGCAGCCAAUCUGAAUUUCCUCGGGUGGGCACUCGGUCUCUACGCCCCCUCCCUCCUCCACCUCUUGCUGCUCUUCAUUUAUAUCCUUCCUGAUGCAAUACUUUUCCCCGGCUGGCAACCUUAUGCCCUCACUCUGCCGUGAAGCUAAGCUCUUUCUUUUUUCUUUAGCGUAUAAAAAUGAAUGUAGCCACUUGUAUAACUCAUAACUUCAAUGACUACCUUUCUGGGGCCUUCUGCGUGCCACCAUGUUGGUUUUUUAGGAGCCAGAGAUGACCAUAUUUGAAGCUGAGGGUGGAACUGGAGAAGCUAUGCUGUCUGUGUCUACAUUUUUGGGCUGGCUAAUUAGCUUGUUCACUUAUUUCCAAGCGGAUUGGAUUUGUAGGCUAUUUAUGGCGGUAACUGACCUGAGUGGUUUAUUUACCAAACCAAAGAGGCUAAAAAACCUCGUGGUAUGAAGCAGACUCGCUGUUCGCUCAGCCAAAUCUCUGCAAAGGAGAGGCUAAACGACAGCAACCAUGUAACCUAAUAUAACCAGAGUUCUCCUUACUGCAGCCCACUGUCGUCUCUGCAGGGCAAAGUAAACUUCAAUCAUGACUGCCAUGCAUAAUAAUAAUGUAUCAGAAACUCUAAACGGGCUUAACAUCCAAGAAUGAGUUAGGCUGAAACUGAUACCAGCUAAUAUGUGCCAAUAUGUCAAUACAAUAAUACUAGAUCUUCAAACGGGCAAAAAAAUGGCGCACAGAAUUUUUAGAGGUGAGUUCAUUCAAAUAAACCGUGUAAAAUGAAAAAAAUACUUGUGUGAUAUUAAAGGUGGGGUAGGCAGGAGAAAUCUUGAAUGUUAACACUACCCCUCCAGACCAGUUUUCCCCUCAGCUCCUCCUCUCCCCUCCAUCUCUGCUCCAGCAAGCCCCGCCCACAAACAGACACACCUGCUCACUCGUAUCGUUUCAUUAAAAUCAGAUAUAAUGCAGAUAAAUCAGAUAAUUACAAAUGGGGCCCAGUCAACGUGAAAGUAAAAAGCAUUGGCGCUACUGUAGAUGCCAACACAAGCAAUGCCAACAGACUACCAGCAAACAUUGUGUUUGCUGGUAGUCUGUUGGCAUUGCUUGUGUUUUCCAUAUUUUCUGGUUGGUUUCCACUGUCCUAUGUUCUAGCUCGCUAACUUUGUUUGGGCUCGUGCACGUUAUUGGAGGAUGAGGGGCCUGCCUCACAACACAAGGGAGCAUCAUCUGCCUCAUAACCAAUCAGCACUAAGGACCAGUGUCCGCCUCACAACCAAUCAGGUUGGGGGAGGCGGUGAACGGCUUUGUUUACGGUCAAAAAGAGCGGGCCGCUCAAAAACUGUAAAAAUGUUGACUACACAGACAUGACAAAACACAGCGAUAUUGUUAUAUUACCAAAUGUCAUCAAUAACUAUCAGCAAUUGACUGAAAUUAAAAACUUUUUUGUAUAUACACCACAAAAAAAAUAUGCUUCUUUAAUGGAAUCCUGCCUGCCCCACCUUUUAAUAUGAAAAAUCCCCAAAGGCACAAACAACAUAUUCAUGAAAAGAAAGUAAAUUUCAUUGACUUUAAAUUCAGAUAAAAAACUUACAUACAUAUUUUUCUACCCUGCUGGAGACAUUAUGUAAUCUGCUGUAAAUACAGUAUUUGUUCUAUAGGAGACCGACUUCUUUUUGGAGUCUGUCUCCAGUGGCGACAUGAGGAACUGCAGUUUUGAGCCUUGCCUCUGCACUAACUUCUGCUCUCAUAACUGGAGGUUGCUGCUUUGGUUCCCCUUCACCAACACGUGCAGGUACAUCGAGUGCAACCACAGAGAGAGAGGUUCACCCUUUACCUCAGAUCAAACGCAGCGUUAGUGUGAUGUCACCCACAGCAGCCCCCAAAACCACUUAUUGCUCUAAAUGAGAGCCAUUAGCCGAGCAAACAAAGACUUAAAACCUUCUGUCUUUUAAUCAAAGGGAGAGCAGGAAGUACAAUUAACAUCUGGGGCAAGAUGUGUCAAAGAGGGGUCAGACUGUAACUGUGUAGGAUCCUGUUACAGUCAUACAGUCUGAAGCCUGUAUGGCACUUUGUGUAGAGCCUAAUGAGAGUCAGUAACCCCAACAUGGAAGACAAAGUGGUCUGCUUUCCUCACCAGGCAAUGGGGACAUUUGAAAACUAUCCAGGUCAGAGCUGGAAACCUGCCUUUCUACCUCUCUGUCUCUCUGUCUGCACUUUCUCUCCUUAUCCCCCCCUUGAACAUUUGGUUUUCUCCCCUCAAUAACGUCUGCAGUGGCAUAUUACAACUUGGAAAUGGGUUUUAAAAGGGAGUAGAGUGGGGUGCCAGAAUGGGAAAAACAUGGAUUGGCUCAACGAAAGCAGAUUAAGUGGGCAUGCCAAACCUCACGCUUUGUCAGGAGCAAGAAAAAAAGACCCUUUUUAACAUUAGUGAAGGACCAACCGCAUAGCAGGGGGAAAUCAAAAAAUCCCACCCUCUUAGACAAGGGGAGAAUGAAAAUUUCAGGCGGUGAUUUGUCACUUAAUACAGAUCUUUUUCUUAAGUGUCGCAAGAGUGAAUAAAACUGGGUGCUGAGAGGGCAAGCCUUCCUUUUUUAAUCAUUGCUGCAGGUCUGUGUGUGCUCAGGGAACUGUUAAGCCAAUUCAUAGGCCUGCAAACAUCCUGUAACAGCAACAUAAAUCCACUUAUCCAGGCUUUUGUGUUUGGUAAUGGAUGUUGUGCUGUAUUAUGUAGAUGUGAUAUGAUGGGACUGAUUGCUGUGAAGAUCACUGAGGCUGCUUUCUAGCACCGCCCUGCCACCCAAACUGUCGGCCAACGAGCCGUUCAUCCCAUGUUGCCUCUGUUGGUGGUCCCUGGUGUAAGCUAUAUUUUCCCCUCACUUCUCUCGCUCUCUCUCUUUUUUUAUAGCUAACACAAAAUUGUUCCUAAUUCGCUGCUGCUAGAGGGGGGUAAUUUGCGGCUUUUGGCUGAGUGUCGCAAGCCCCAAAUUUGAAAAAGCUGCUGAGUUGAAGGCGUUCUGUGAAAGAAGCAGCGACGAAGAGUAGAGAGAAACAUGGCCUCAAUUCAAUCAGAGGAAAAAAGAAAAACAUGAUGAUCCCCAAGAAGCAGAGGAGAGCAAUGCGAUAAUAACUGUUGGGUAAUAUAAGCUGCAGCCACCAACAAUUAUUUUAAUGAAAUGAUGCCAAUAAUGUCUACUCUUCUUUUUCAAGUUAAUGUGAUUUAUACUGAGCCUAUAAAAACACUCAACCUUUUAUCAAACUAGGUUGGCUAAAAAAAGUCACAUAACUUCUCUUUUAUGGUCAAAUUCCUUGAGAUAAAAAUCUCCAAGAGGAGAUGGAAAAGCAAACAUUAAAACAUUAUCUCAGUACGGUGGCCCUCAAGGAUAAUUGCACAAACAUCUUAUGGCACAAAAAAAUCCUGGUGCGCUACAAACAUUUGAAAAAAUAUUUCAAGUCAGAACUUUUUUUCCACAAACAGACAAACAUAUUUAUGAGCCAUAAAAUGAUCUAAUGAAACCCUAAAACUUAAUUUUAAAGUACAAAAAAAUAUAUUGCAGACAACGCAGGAACAAUUUUAUGAGACGCAACAUAUUUCUUAAAGCCCCAAUUUCUCCAUAAAACAUAAAAUACUUGAAAAAUCACAAAUGUCACAAACACAGAUUUUCUCAAAACACUAAAUAUAUUCCACGAAACACAAAAGAAGUCAUGAAAGACAAGAAAUACAAAAUCAUUUCAUAAGCCACACAAAAAGAAUCACAAAACACAAAAAUUUAAAAAUAUUUGCAUCUUGAAAAUAUUCUUCUGAUCAUUGAAAUAUGUUUGUGUAAACAUUUUUUUUCCUGUUUUAUUUCUCAUUAGCAUGAAUACACAAGAUUAAAAAAGCAGAGAAAAGGGAGACUUUUGUCCACAGGGAGCGCCAAAACAAACACAAACUUUAACUCCUUCAGAUUUGUCAUGAGGCUUAUUUUACAAGACUCAAUUUGAUUGGUCAACCCAGUUAAAAUAAGAUUUUUAUUUAAAAACACACACACAAAAAGAUAAAUUAAAUCUUUGCAAAAAUGUUCUGCCACAGUUCACCUUUGCCUGUUAACACUGUGGCAAAGAUGUUAUGUGUCCAUCCUAGGCAGGUAUUGUAUGUCCUAAGUUGAUGUUGUUGUUUUUUCAGCAAUCACAACUUACAUGAGAUACCGGAGAGUUAUAGAGAAAGGAUAAGAGAUAUCACUUUGUCCACAGGGGGGUGCCAAAAUCAACACAAACUUAAAUUUCUCCUGAGAGCUUUAACAGUAAUGUAAAAAAAAAUGUUCAUGUGUGUAAAUAAGCUUACUUAACAUAAUAUGAGUCUAUUAAAGUUUUGUUUGCAACAGAGCUUAUUUCUGCAACAAUCCCAAAUCCAAGAAAAUCCCAUUAGCUUUUUGUUGAGGAAACAGAGGCUCAUGACUUGCCACAGAAAUAUGUCAUCCCUGCAGCACACUCCAGUGUGAGAGCUCAAAGAGAGGCUAAAGACGCUUAAAAAGUGGUCCAAAUAUCUGGAUUUCUUAUUUAAACUAGUGUGUUUACUGAGAUUUUGGACAUAACUCCUUCAGUAUGUCAAUAAACAAACAAACAGAUUAUCAAACAACAUGUGCACCAAAGAAGAGAAACAUCAAGGUGUCAGCUAUUUUAUAUUGUGAAGAUACUUGAGAUAAAAAUAAAAAUAUCUAUUUAACAAUAUAAAAGAUAAAAAGAGCUUAUUUAUUUAGUGGUCAAACAGGCUGCUGCAGACUCAUUUCUCUCUGAAGACCUCGUGAGUGGACCAAACUUUAUCUGGAACAACAAGCUUCAGUGUGAUAAACAGAUUAACAGAUUUUCAAUUGUCAUGUAUUGAUUGUAGCAAAUAGAAAAUAUAUAUAUCUUGCCAACAGAGAUGUGCAGUUGAUAGUUUUCUGGAAAAGUUCCAGUGAUACACAAGAUAAAUCAUACAUUCAACUUUCAAAACACUAUUAUGCUGCUAAUCGUAGAUCAAGUUAACAGCUUUUUAUUCUCGUGAGAAAAUGUCUGAAAAAAAUGUGUCAAUCUAAAAUUAAAUCUUAAUCUCUGAGAGUGUUUUCUUUUCUUGAGUGUGGCCCUAAUACUUCUACAGAUUAGAGGAGCAGCCAACUGCCUGAAUGGUAAUGACGAAUGAGAAGCAUUGAGUGAUUCUCAAAUAUGUUUAAUUAAAAAAAAUAAACACUUCCUUUUUCAGCAUAUCAGAACCACGGUGUCAUGAGUAUCAAGAUUCUGAGGAAACUGAGGUUUAUAUAAAACCAGGUGAGCAAACAGGCAGCUUGUCCUCAGGUUAUUCAUGUUCCUCAGGUGGCUGCUCUUGUAACAUCACAAAGUAUUUUUAGUCUACAUACAGAUUAACCAUGACAAUUUCUUCCUAAAAAAAAAAAAAAACAACAACAACAAAAAAAACAACCUAUUUCUUAUAAUACAGCAACUUGAGUUUUUACAUGACUUUUUUAAUCACUUUGUUAUUCUCAGAAUAUUUCUGACCCUCAUUUCACAGCACCGCAACUGAAUUCUCUUGAGACCUUAUUCUCGUAAUAUUCAUGAAUUUUGGACCAAUACUAAUACUCAUACUCAAAACAGAAGGAAGAGUUCUGUGGAGUUUGUUUGUGAAUUUUGUCACCCUUGAACAAAACCAGCCUGUUUCCGCCUCUUACCGCUCUUCAUGCCAAACUAAGUUGGUACUGGUGUUGGUUUUCUUCUCAGAAUGUCUGAGAAAUUCAACACUGGCAUCCCCAGAAAUGUGAAAUUAUGACUUUUAGCAUUGUUCUUCUGUCAAACUGAGACACUAGCCCUGUUUCCUAUUUGAAGCAGAAAAAGUCUUGGUCUUGAUUAUGGUGAUUCUUAACAUAUGAAUAGACCACAUGCUGGUCUCUGUUUAUUGUAGGAAGUAGAGAUUUGUUACCAAAUUAAAAGCACUCACACAAUAAUGGGCUUUGCAUUCCGUUGUUGGGUGGGCUCAUCCGUCAUUACGUCGACUGAGUCACUGGUGUAAUAUCAGUCGUACAGCUGUACUGGGCUGAUACCCAUCAAUUACAUUUAAUUCAUUUCAGUUCAAUUAGUGUAACUCAAUUGACAAAUUCACACCAAAGACACUUUGUGUUGCAACUUAGAACAGAGGACUUAGAAAGCCAGGGAACGUAAUGAGAAGCAAAAGGAGUUUUUUCUUCAACUUAUCUGGUUAACUGCUGACCUGAGUGGCAGACCUACUCUCUUUUACAUUAUUAACCGGCUGGCUUAAAUCCUUGAUUCUGAUUAGCCAAAACCUCAUAACAACAGAGCAGUAAUUCUCAACUGCAAAAACAAUGCCAAGGACAACCUGAUCACACGCGUCAUAUCAGAUCAAUCCGCACUAAGGAGUUUGGCACUCUACCUCUUGACCUUGCGGCGAAAACGUGAGCUUCUGUGUGAGUGGGGAACAAUGAGGGUGGGCACAGCUGCAGAGAAAGCCUGAGGAGCAACUGCACCCCAACUAUGUCUGAUCGUAGGGCCGGCUUUGACAUACGCCAUAUAGGCAGCUGAAGAGAGCACCUCAUGCUAGUCACCCACAAAAAUUUUGCUU